GCAUCAACUUAUACUUAAUCAUUUUCGGAAAAAAAACAAGAGCUGCACUGUAGCGAAGUUAGCGAAGUUCCUGCCAAAUGCUAGCAGGACAGGUUUGCAAAAUAGGGACCGACUUUUGUAUGAGCAAAUAAUACUAAAAAGAAUCUGCACAAUCUGUCAUAUUAUAUUGCCUAGUGGUUUCAUCGAUUUGCUCUGAGACUGAAUUGGAUUAUUAUCACUGAUCCAUUGGGAGAAUAUCGACAAACAAUUUUUGAAAUCUCAAGUUGUAAUGUUCAAACUGCAUAGACAAAAAAUACUACUUGAUUUCACCAAACAGCCCAAAUGUCAAAGCGAUUCUGCCAUAGUAUCAUAAAGAGGUUUUCAACAAUCUUUGGGGUCCUAAACAUGAAACAGUGUCACAGGACCAAUCUUGGAUAACUAUCUGGCUUGAUAGGGAGUCAGGGGUUUCUAGUGCUGCUUUUGUUAGGAUGUUUACUAAAGUGGAGUCGCCUAGAAAGAGCUGGUCAUGGAGCUACAAUGCACUUUCUUGCUGGUCGCAGAGUGUUUCAAUUGCUGAGUUUGGAGGAGUAGGAGAUGACAACAUUGUCAAUACCAAGCCUCUCACUUCACUCUUUACCUGAACAAAAAUGUUGUAGUUCUUGGUUCGGUGGUUAAGUGAUUCUUUCUCUCAAAGUUGUAAGUUUGCUCAUCCUUGGUUGAGUUCAGAUUGAUUCACAUGUCAAAGGCUGAGUGGUGUAAAUUUUGUUAAUUUUAAAGGUUUUUGAAUCCGGAAGCUUGAAACAAUCAAGACAUCCACAAUGAAGCUGAUUCAGUAAAGGCAAAUGCGGUACUGAGCACAGUCGAAUGAAAUUAGACAAUUACUGUAAAUUUAACACUUUAUUAAAUCUACUUAAUUUCUCCAAAAAUAUUAAGUGUAAAAAAACUUUGAGAACCUUGUCUUAGAAUUUGCAAGCUAUAAUUUGA